rnacentral:lncRNA from 1 species
AUUGCGCAUGCGGGAAACCCACGCUGAGGGAAGAAUCAUGGGAAAGAGGUGAGCCUGUAAAGUUUUAGGAUCAAGGUUAAAGGCCCUUUUUUGCUCUCUUCUCUCUUGGACCUUCAGGCGACGGCUUGGGUAUCUUCCAAGCGAAUUUUCCUUUCUUUCCUGUUCUUUUUUUUUUUUGAGACGGAGUCUUGCUCUGUCGCCCAGGCUGGAGUGCAGUGGCGUGAUGUCGGCUCACUGCAAGCUCCGCCUCCCGGGUUCACGCCAUUCUCCUGCUUCAGCCUCCUGAGUAGCUGGGGCUACAGGCGCCCGCCACCACGCCCGGCUAAUUUUUUUGUAUUUUUUUUUUUAGUAGAGACGGGGUUCCACCGUGUUAGCCAGGAUGGUCUCGAUUUCCUGACCUCGUCAUCCUCCCGCCUUGGCCUCCCAAAGUGCUGGGAUUACAGGCUUGAGCCACCGCGCCCCGCUCUUUCGUGUUCCAAAGGCUUUUUAAAUAAACUUCCACUCCUGUCCUGGAUUCUGCUUUAUGGCCCUCAGUCGAAUUCUUUCUUCUGAGGAGGCAAGGACUGAAGUUGCUUCUGACCAGUACAGGAGAAAACGAAUACAGCAGGGAUGACUUCCACCAGCUCCACUUUGCAGCUCUGAGGUGUAUUAAAAAUAAACCUAGAGCCCCACCAAAUGAAUCCGCUGGCACGUGGACCUCAGAUGGGGGAAACUGAGGACUGAAUUCUGACCACCCUCCUUUGUUCUAAAUUUCU